CCCUUAGAUGUUCUGGGCCGCACGCGCGCUACACUGAUACAUGCAACGAGUUUAUAACCUUGAUCUGACGGUCUGGGUAAUCUUCAAACUGUAUCGUGUUAGGGAUCGAUUCUUGCAAUUUUUAAUCGUAAACGAGGAAUUCCUAGUAAACGCAAGUCAUCAGCUUGCAUUGAUUACGUCCCUGCCCUUUGUACACACCGCCCGUCGACUCUACCGAUUGAAUGGUUCGGUGAAAACUUUGGACUGUGGCAUUGUCCUUCAUUGGACUUCGCCGUAGGAAAUUGUUUAAACCUCNUNAUUUACNGGAAGAAUAANUCGUANCA
rnacentral:rRNA from 1 species